rnacentral:lncRNA from 1 species
CUCCCACAGUGGUGAGAGCUGAGAGGUGACCACAGAAAGCAUUGGACAAUCCACCUGUUCCCCAUCGCGGGGCCGUUUCAACAUUCCAAUCAUACGUGGCAGCAAUGUUAUAAAUGUGAUUGAAGAAUAUUUAUUGUCAAGGUUAUCACAUUGUAAUAAAACAUAUGGGUACUUUAAGACCCUGAUAAAACAGCUGUGUUUGCUCAGGUGAAGGAAGGCAUGCAGGUGUAAAGUGUUAGCUGACGUUUUAAAUAGAUUUAGCUCAGUAGGAAAAAAGAUGGACUCUGCUGGAAAGAAAAAAAAAAAGAAAAGAAAAAAAAACACAAAACAACAUGGGGGCAAGUACAGAACCUCUUUACUCCCCACUGAUUUCUCCUUCUCCCACGAUUUUUCCUCCUGGCAGAUUCUGUGCACCCCUGAGCUGAAGAGCAGGCCUGUGCUGCAUGACGUCCUUGUUCCUACGGGGUUAAGCAAAGGGACUGGAUGUACUCACUGAGGUCACGAAACAGAUUCCUGGGAGCAGCAGGCUCUGGAGUGGUGUGAAUUGCUGAUCUUCAGCCACUUGCCAGUGUUUCACGUCUUGGAGAGAUGAGGUGUGAUUUUUUUAUUUUUUAUUUUUUUUAUUUUUACAUCCAUGCCUGACUUGUUCUGUUUUCUCUUGUGAUGAAGCAACUUAUUUGUACUGUUUACUGUUGAUCUCAAACUAUCUUAUUUCAAAUUACACAGCUGAAUUCAUUUGUGUUGAAUAUUUUUCUUACAGAUUUUGUUACUAGAUGCUAAUAAAUUCAUUCUGUGCUCUGUAUAUCA